rnacentral:rRNA from 1 species
UACGUAGGGUGCGAGCGUUAAUCGGAAUUACUGGGCGUAAAGCGUGCGCAGGCGGUCUUUUAAGCCAGAUGUGAAAUCCCCGGGCUUAACCUGGGAACUGCGUUUGGAACUGGAAGGCUAGAGUACGGCAGAGGGGGGUGGAAUUCCACGUGUAGCAGUGAAAUGCGUAGAGAUGUGGAGGAAAACCGAUGGCGAAGGCAGCCCCCUGGGCCUGUACUGACGCUCAUGCACGAAAGCGUGGGGAGCAAACAGG